UACGGCUCAGUAACACGUGGAUAACCUGCCCUAAGGAAGGGGAUACCCUCGGGAAACUGAGGAUAAUACCCUAUAGGUUACCGAUGCUGGAAUGCUCGGUAACUCAAAGUUCCGGCGCCUUAGGAUGGAUCUGCGGCCGAUUAGGUAGUUGUUGGGGUAACGGCCCAACAAGCCCGUAAUCGGUACGGGUUGUGGGAGCAAGAGCCCGGAGUUGGAUUCUGAGACACGAAUCCAGGCCCUACGGGGCGCAGCAGGCGCGAAAACUUUACAAUGCGGGCAACCGUGAUAAGGGAACCUCGAGUGCCUGUACAUGCAGGCUGUCUGGGUGUCUAAAACACACCCAAAGAAAGGGCCGGGCAAGACCGGUGCCAGCCGCCGCGGUAAUACCGGCGGCUCGAGUGGUGGCCACUUUUAUUGGGCUUAAAGCGUUCGUAGCUGGGUUGUUAAGUCUCUUGGGAAAUCCGGCGGCUUAACCGUCGGGCGUCUAAGAGAUACUGGCAAUCUUGGAACCGGGAGAGGUGAGGGGUACUUCGGGGGUAGGAGUGAAAUCCUGUAAUCCUCGAGGGACCACCUGUGGCGAAGGCGCCUCACCAGAACGGCUUCGACAGUGAGGGACGAAAGCUGGGGGAGCAAACCGGAUUAGAUACCCGGGUAGUCCCAGCCGUAAACGAUGUGCGUUAGGUGUAUSGACGACCACGAGUCGUCGAGGUGCCGAAGGGAAACCGUGAAACGUACCGCCUKGGAAG
rnacentral:rRNA from 1 species